CGGCGGACGGGUGAGUAACACGUGGAUAACCUACCUAUAAGACUGGGAUAACUUCGGGAAACCGGAGCUAAUACCGGAUAAUAUAUUGAACCGCAUGGUUCAACAGUGAAAGGCGGUUUUGCUGUCACUUAUAGAUGGAUCCGCGCCGCAUUAGCUAGUUGGUAAGGUAACGGCUUACCAAGGCAACGAUGCGUAGCCGACCUGAGAGGGUGAUCGGCCACACUGGAACUGAGACACGGUCCAGACUCCUACGGGAGGCAGCAGCC
rnacentral:rRNA from 1 species